rnacentral:rRNA from 1 species
UCAAGCUACAAAGAGCACAAGGGGAAUGCCUUGGCACCGAGAGCCGAAGAAGGACGUGACUAACUGCGAUAAGCUGCGGGGAGCCGUAAGUAGGCUUUGAUCCGCAGAUUUCCGAAUGGAGCAAUCCGGCAAGAGGAAAGUCUUGUCAUCAUAUACUGAAUACAUAGGUAUAUGAGGGGAACCGCCUGAACUGAAACAUCUAAGUAGGGCGAGGAAGAGAAAUCAACUGAGAUUCCGUAAGUAGUGGCGAGCGAACGCGGAAGAGGCCAAACCGAGAGUAGUAAUACUUUCGGGGUUCGGACAGAAUACGGCAUUGUAAAGGUUUAGUGGAAUGGAAUGGGAAGUCCAACCGAAGAAGGUGAGAGUCCUGUACACGAAAAGCCUGAACAGCCAUCUGUAUCCAGAGUACCGCCGGACACGUGAAACCCGGUGGGAAUACGGGGGGACCAUCCUCCAAGCCUAAAUACUACUCGGUGACCGAUAGUGAAGAAGUACUGUGAAGGAAAGGUGAAAAGUACCCCUGACGGGGAGUGAAAAAGAACCUGAAACCUUGUGUUUACAAGCACCGAAAGCUCAUCAAAGAGCGAUCGGGUACCUUUUGUAGAAUGGUCCGGCGAGUGAAUGUAACCGGCGAGGUUAAGCACUUAAGGUGUGAAGCCGCAGCGAGAGCAAGUCUGAAUAGGGCGUAUGAAGUCGGUUGUAUUCGACCCGAAACCGGGUGACCUACCCAUGGUCAGGUUGAAGUAAAGGUAAAACUUUAUGGAGGACCGAACCGACUCCCGUUGAAAUGGUAGCGGAUGAACUGUGGGUAGCGGAGAAAUUCCAAUCGAACCCGGAGAUAGCUGGUUCUCUCCGAAAUAGCUUUAGGGCUAGCCUUGAAAUAGAUUACCGGAGGUAAAGCACUGAAUUGGCUAGGGGCCGAGAGGUUACUGAACCUUAUCAAACUAAGAAUGCCGGAUAAUCGUUUUUCAGGAGUCAGACAGUGGGAGAUAAGUUUCAUUGUCAAAAGGGAAACAGCCCAGACCCACAGCUAAGGUCCCCAAGUAUAGUUAAGUGGAAAAGGAUGUGGAAUUGCACAGACAACCAGGAUGUUGGCUUAGAAGCAGCCACUCAUUAAAAGAGUGCGUAAUAGCUCACUGGUCGAGUGACUCUGCGCCGAAAAUUUAACGGGGCUAAACUAUACACCGAAGCUUGGGAUACAUCUAAUGUAUGGUAGGAGAGCGUUCUGUAUGGGGAGAAGUCGUAGCGAAAGCGGCGGUGGACUAUACAGAAGUGAGAAUGCCGGAAUAAGUAGCGAGAAUUAAGUGAGAAUCUUAAUGGCCGAAAGUCUAAGGUUUUUGGAGGAAGGUUCGUCCGCUCCAAGUAAGUCGGGAGCUAAGGUCAGGCCGAAAGGCGUAGCCGAUGCACAUACGGUUGAUAUUCCGUAACCAUCUGUAAUUUAAGCAAAGGGACACUUCAAAAGGGUGUGACCCGGGCGUUGGUUGACCCGGGCGUAAGGGACCGAAAUUAGAGUAGGGAAGCACACUUAGCUGAAGGCGAGAAAAGCUUUGCGUAUAGAAGCAGAUGCCCGUACCGCAAACCGACACAGGUGGACAGGAAGAGAAUUCUAAGGCCAGCGGGAGAAGGGUAGUUAAGGAACUCGGCAAAUUGACUCCGUAACUUCGGAAUAAGGAGUGCUCGAAAGAGCCGCAGAGAAUAGGCCCAGGCGACUGUUUAGCAAAAACACAGGUCUCUGCCAAAUCGAAAGAUGAAGUAUAGGGGCUGACACCUGCCCGGUGCCGGAAGGUUAAGAGGAGGAGUGAGAGCUCCGAAUUGAAGCCCCGGUAAACGGCGGCCGUAACUAUAACGGUCCUAAGGUAGCGAAAUUCCUUGUCGGGUAAGUUCCG